rnacentral:misc_RNA from 1 species
ACCAAUACGAAGUUUUUUCUUCCCUUCAUUCUUCAUGAUUUUAUAAAAGGAAGUGUUCGAAUGAUACAUGAUCAAAAGAAGGAAGUGUUCGAUUGAGCAGCAAAUAUGGACUGCAUACAAACGCUAUGGAAGACACAAAAGGAUCGUGAAAUUCCGGUUAAGGUGCUUCAUCUGUGUUGGUUCAAAGCCGGAGGAUCUCUGUAGAUUACAUAUUUUCAUGCUUUAACUUUGUACACAAUAUGGCGGACUACUUGCAUGUUCUACCUCUGUUGUUGACGUUUGUCCCCCUUUAUUUUUCUUUCUUGUCUCACUAUAUAUAACACAGGCCCGACUGGGACGCUUUGAUCGAGCGUCAACCCGAGGCUUGGACACUUGAAUUGUGAUUUUAUUAUUAUUUUCUUCUUUUUUACAACUCUAAUGUGCCUCUAGUCUUAUCAUGUGCCUUACAUGUAUAGCUUACAUGUAAAUAUUUUGAAUUAAAUUAUUUGAUCAGCC